rnacentral:rRNA from 1 species
AGCGAACGCUGGCGGCAGGCCUAACACAUGCAAGUCGAACGAACUCUUCGGAGUUAGUGGCGGACGGGUGAGUAACACGUGGGAACGUGCCUUUUGGUUCGGAAUAACUCAGGGAAACUUGUGCUAAUACCGAAUGUGCCCUUCGGGGGAAAGAUUUAUCGCCAUUGUAGCGGCCCGCGUCUGAUUAGCUAGUUGGUGAGGUAACGGCUCACCAAGGCGACGAUCAGUAGCUGGUCUGAGAGGAUGACCAGCCACUCCGGGACUGAGACGCGGCCCAGAAUCCUACGGGAUGCAGGAAUGGGGGAUGGUGCGAAAUGGGGGGAAGGCUGAAGGAGCCAGGCCGGGGGAAUGAUGAAGGUAGUAAGAAUGGAAAAUUUUUUUAACGGGGAAGAUAAUGACGGUACCCGGAGAAGAAGCCCCGGCUAACUUCGUG